GGGCCUGUAGCUCAGCUAGGUAGAGCGUCCGGCUUUUAACCGGACGGCCAAGGGUUCGAAUCCCUUCAGGCUCGCCA
rnacentral:tRNA from 1 species